rnacentral:rRNA from 1 species
AUUGAACGCUGGCGGCAUGCCUUACACAUGCAAGUCGAACGGCAGCACGGGAGCAAUCCUGGUGGCGAGUGGCGAACGGGUGAGUAAUAUAUCGGAACGUGCCCGGUCGUGGGGGAUAACGUAGCGAAAGCUACGCUAAUACCGCAUACGAUCUAUGGAUGAAAGCGGGGGAUCGCAAGACCUCGCGCGAUUGGAGCGGCCGAUAUCAGAUUAGGUAGUUGGUGAGGUAAAGGCUCACCAAGCCGACGAUCUGUAGCUGGUCUGAGAGGACGACCAGCCACACUGGGACUGAGACACGGCCCAGACUCCUACGGGAGGCAGCAGUGGGGAAUUUUGGACAAUGGGCGCAAGCCUGAUCCAGCAAUGCCGCGUGCAGGAUGAAGGCCUU